CGGGGAGUGGCGCAGCGGUAGCGUGCCUGCUUUGGGAGCAGGAGGUCGGGGGUUCGAAACCCCCCUCCCCGA
rnacentral:tRNA from 1 species